UACGGGGGAUGCGAGCGUUGUCCGGAAUCAUUGGGCGUAAAGAGUUCGUAGGUGGUUUGUUAAGUUAGGUGUUAAAGGCUGAGGCUCAGCUUCAGUAUGGCACUUGAUACUGGCAGACUUGAAUGCGGUAGAGGUAAAGGGAAUUCCUGGUGUAGCGGUGAAAUGCGUAGAUGUCAGGAGGAACAUCGGUGGCGUAAGCGCUUUACUGGGCCGUAAUUGACUCUGAGGAACGAAAGCCGGGGUCGCAAAU
rnacentral:rRNA from 1 species